rnacentral:rRNA from 1 species
AUACGUAGGGGGCGAGCGUUGUCCGGAAUGAUUGGGCGUAAAGGGCGCGUAGGCGGCGCGGUAAGUCUGGAGUGAAAGUCCUGCUUUCAAGGUGGGAAUUGCUUUGGAUACUGCCGCGCUUGAGUGCAGGAGAGGUUAUCGGAAUUCCCGGUGUAGCGGUGAAAUGCGUAGAGAUCGGGAGGAACACCAGUGGCGAAGGCGGGAAACUGUAGUGCAACUGACGCUGAGGCGCGAAAGUGUGAGGAGCAAACAGGAUUAGAUUGCCUGGUAGUCCACGCGGGAAACGGUGAAUUCCAGGUGUUGCGGGUAUAGACCCCUGCAGUGCCGGAGUAAACACAAAAAGCAUUCAGCGUGGGGAGUACGGCCGCAAGGUUGAAACUCAAAGGACUUGACUGGG